CAAAUUUUGAAGAAAAAUAAAAACAUAGUCUGUAUUUGUUUAGCUUGCAAAUAAAACCUCUCUGAUACUUUUCGUUUCAGCUUAGUUUGGAAUCUAGACGUACUUUUGUUGGAAAGUAAAUAUUUUUAAAAUCAUCCUUUUAAGUUAAUUUUUGGCAUUUAUACACGCUAUAAUCCAUUUGACUGUAUAUAUACAAAACACUAUUAUUGUGUAGCAUAUUAUCAAUACAAUCUCAUUGGCAGAACUUACUGUUUUAACGUGUUGUCAACGUAGUAAGAACUCGUCUGAUUUCUUCCAAUAUUUGAACUUUCCCGCCACAUUUUACUUCGGACGCAGUUUCGCAAAUACGUUUCACACAGGAAGUUAGUCCAGGGAAUUUUUACCAGAUUUCCUUGUCUGAUGCUGAACACUGAACAAUGACAGCCACUCAACAAAUGACCCGUCCCCAAGAGAAGACUGGAACAUGGUCAACAAUAUUUCCCUCAGAGACAGUUACAGAGCAACAGUCUGCACUGUUUGUUAAGAAACUCUUGGCAGUUGCAGUGUCCAACAUAACAUACCUCAGAGCCAUCUUUCCAGAGAAUGCAUUUGGAGAUCGCUGCCUUGAAGAUUUAAACCUGAAGAUACUACGACAUGACAGUACAUGUGCUGGGGCUUGCCAAGUGAUCAAGUGGGUCAAAGGGUGUUUCGACGCACUUGACAAACAUUAUUUGAGAAUGCUAGUUGUUGGGAUAUAUGUUGAUCCAAAUGACCCAGAUGAAUGACAAGAAGAUCUCUAGUGCUUUCUCUGCUGCUGAGACAAAAAAGGCGACAAUCAGAUUGCUGAGGACAAUAGUUGUGCUUACGCAGACCCUCAAGUCUCUUCCUGAUGAUGUCAUUAUGUCAAUGAAACUACUCUAUUUUGAUGAUGUCACUCCUGCUGAAUACGAACCCCCAGGUUUCCAGUCAUGUGACGUUGAUGGCUUCAGAUUUGACGAAGAACCAAUGAACAUCAAGGUCGGGGAUGUCAAUACACCUUUCCACACUGUCAAACUGAGAAUCAAAACUGACGGGAAACAAUUUGAGAUGCAAGAUGAGCAAAGUGAACAAACCAAGGAUGUUGGAGAAAAAACUGAACCAGCAAACCAAGAUGUUGUUGUUGAAACUAUUGCCCAGCAACCACCAGAGCCCUCUGUUGGUGCUGAGCCAACACUAGGAAAUUCUCCAGAAGAGGGCCCAAGUCCUGUGUCAGGGUCUCCUAUGGACCAAGACAAUGAACAACAGGUACCCAGCAUUACACCAGAGGGGAAGAAGAUUGUGAAACUUGGCGACACAAAACUCAGUCAAAGACGAGCCACCCCAGCAAGAGCUGAUUCAGGGCUCCAUACAUCUGCCCAACUACCAGGUUCAACUGACCAAGCUGUAGACACGACAGGUUCCCAGGAUUACAACGAAGACUUAACGGAAGACCUUGGUGUACAAUGUCCCUGUGGAUGCAAUGAGGAUGAUGGUCUGAUGAUUCUCUGUGCAGUCUGUCACUAUUGGCAACAUGGAGUUUGUUUCCUCAUCACAUUAGAAGAAGAUGCUCCAGAAAGACAUAUCUGCAACUCAUGUGCUGAUCCAAAUGAUGCAGACUUACAACCAACAGAUAUAAAACUUAGUGGCCUAUCCUCUUUAGGAGUUCAGGCAAUGUGCUUAUGGAGACGAGCCCUGAUGGCAUGUACAGAGAUGUCCCGUGUAUUGCAGCCAAGCUUUGCCCGUAGACUUGGUGUUGAAAUGACUGUUGCUACAGGAUUACUGAACAGAUUGGAAAAGGAAGGAUUUAUCAAGAAUCCCACCAAAGGAAAACGACUGGGUAAGAUAGUUAAUAGAGACAAGAUUCUGAAGGAAGGUCUACCCAAAUACUUCAACAAAUCUUCAGUGAACCAACAGAGAGUGGAGCCUGAGGCCCAACCUGAGCCAGAAAAUCAACAAACAAUCAAGAAAGGAAAUACUAAUGAGAAAUCUAAAGGGAAAGCAACAGUUGAUGAUAUUGUAAGUCUAGCAACCAGGACUGAAGGGAUUACAUUGUCAGGCCAUAAAAAGAAAUCUACCAAAGAGAUCCUUCAAGAUGAACAACAGCACCAGGUGACAGAGAAGGGAGAUGGUCCAGAAAAGAAAUCUGCUGGGAAAAGAAAGAGAACCGUGUCAACCAUUGAGGGGGAGGAGUUUGAGAUCAGCAACAGCCAAUCGCAAGAUAUGAGCCCCACCAAGAGAGGGAGGAAACGUCGCAAGGCAAGCAUAACGUCCAAGGCUAUUAUAGUCUGAGAUAGAACAAUGUACCGUUCGAUCAGGCAGCAUUCUCAACAAGCUGUUGGAGCAGCAUGAACAUGUGAUCACCAUGUGAACUAUAAAACUCUGUCAUUGUAUAGGUUCAUUAUGAAUUCUAUCUGUUACUUCAAGAUCAUUGUGUGAGUUCUCAAUCACUUUUAAUUCUAUGUCACUGGAUGUGCUCAAGAUCACUAGAUGAUUCUAGAUGACUGUGAGCUCUAGAUCACUUUAUAUGUUCAAGAUCACUUUAUGAAUUUUACAUCGCUGUGAUUUUUAAAUCACUGUAAAAAUUCUAGGUCACUGUAUGAGUUCUAGAUCAGUGCCUAACUCUAGGUUACCAAGUGAAUUCUAAAAUUGUAGUGUGUUAAC
rnacentral:misc_RNA from 1 species